rnacentral:rRNA from 1 species
CCUUCGGGCGCCGACGAGUGGCGGACGGGUGAGUAACGCGUAGAAUCUGCCUAUUAGUGGGGGACAACGUGUGGAAACGCACGCUAAUACCGCAUACCCCCUACGGGGGAAAGGAGGGGAUCUUCGGACCUUUCGCUAAUAGAUGAGCCUGCGUAGGAUUAGCUAGUUGGUAGGGUAAAGGCCUACCAAGGCGACGAUCCUUAGCUGUUCUGAGAGGAAGAUCAGCCACACUGGGACUGAGACACGGCCCAGACUCCUACGGGAGGCAGCAGUGGGGAAUAUUGGACAAUGGGCGAAAGCCUGAUCCAGCAAUACCGCGUGUGUGAAGAAGGCCUUAGGGUUGUAAAGCACUUUCAAUUGGGAGGAAAAAACAAGGGUCAAUACCCCUUGUCUUGACAUUACCUUUAGAAGAAGCACCGGCUAACUCCGUGCCAGCAGCCGCGGAAAUACGGAGGGUGCAAGCGUUAAUCGGAAUUACUGGGCGUAAAGAGUGCGUAGGCGGCUCGUUAAGUCAGAUGUGAAAGCCCUGGGCUCAACCUGGGAACUGCAUUUGAAACUGGCGAGCUAGAGUUGAGUAGAGGUAAGUGGAAUUUCAGGUGUAGCGGUGAAAUGCGUAGAUAUCUGAAGGAACACCAGUGGCGAAGGCGACUUACUGGACUCAAACUGACGCUGAGGUACGAAAGCGUGGGUAGCAAACAGGAUUAGAUACCCUGGUAGUCCACGCCGUAAACGAUGUCAACUAGCCGUUGGUUCUAUAUACAGAAUUAGUGGCGCAGCUAACGCAUUAAGUUGACCGCCUGGGGAGUACGGCCGCAAGGUUAAAACUCAAAUGAAUUGACGGGGGCCCGCACAAGCGGUGGAGCAUGUGGUUUAAUUCGAUGCAACGCGAAGAACCUUACCUACCCUUGACAUCCAUAGAAUC